ensembl:lncRNA
AAGAACAGAACACUUGGGUGUGCAGAUGGAAGUUUGUGCUCAGUCAGACCUCUAUGUAUAUGUGUUUAUGUAUAUGUGUUUAUGUGUGUGUAGUCAUGAUGUGUUAUGUGUUCAUGGGUGUGUAGUCAUGAUGUGUUUAUGUGUGUGUGGUCAUGAUUGGAGAUAUGUGUUUAUGUGUGUGUAGUCAUGAUUGGAGAUAUGUGUUUAUGUGUGUGUGGUCAUGAUUUGGAGAUACUGUAUGUGUUUAUGUGUGUGUAGUCAUGAUGUGUUAUGUGUUUAUGUGUGUGUAGUCAUGAUGGGAGAUAUGUGUUUAUGUGUGUGUGUAUGUGUGUGUAGUCAUGAUUGGAGAUAUGUUUUUAUGUGUGUGUGGUCAUGAUUGGAGAUAUGUGUUUAUGUGUGUGUGGUCAUGAUUUGGAGAUACUGUAUGUGUUUAUGUGUGUGUAGUCAUGAUGUGUUAUGUGUUUAUGUGUGUGUAGUCAUGAUUGGAGAUAUGUGUUUAUGUGUGUGUGGUCAUGAUUGGAGAUAUGUGUUUAUGUGUGUGUAGUCAUGAUGUGUUAUGUGUUUAUGUGUGUGUAGUCAUGAUUGGAGAUAUGUGUUUAUGUGUGUGUAGUCAUGAUGUGUUAUGUGUUUAUGUGUGUGUUUAUGUGUGUGUGGUCAUGAUUGGAGAUAUGUGUUUAUGUGUGUGUAGUCAUGAUGUGUUAUGUGUUAUGUGUUUAUGUGUGUGUGGUCAUGAUUGGAGAUACGUGUUUAUGUGUGUGUGGUCAAUAUUGGAGAUAUGUGUUUAUGUGUGUGUUUAUGUGUGUGUAGUCAUGAUGUGUUAUGUGUUUAUGUGUGUGUGGUCAUGAUUGGAGAUAUGUAUUUAUGUGUGUGUAGUCAUGAUUGGAGAUAUGUGUUUAUGUGUGUGUGGUCAUGAUUGGAGAUACGUGUUUAUGUGUGUGUAGUCAUGAUUGGAGAUAUGUGUUUAUGUGUGUGUAGUCAUGAUGUGUUAUGUGUUUAUGUGUGUGUUUAUGUGUGUGUAGUGAUGAUGUGUUAUGUGUUUAUGUGUGUGUAGUCAAUAUUAGAGAUAUGUGUUUAUGUGUGUGUAGUCAUGAUUGGAGAUACGUGUUUAUGUGUGUGUAGUCACGAUGUGUUAUGUGUUUAUGUGUGUGUAGUCAUGAUGGUCAGGCUCCCCGC